AUGAACGCUAGCUACAGGCUUAACACAUGCAAGUCGAGGGGCAGCAUCAUUAAAGCUUGCUUUGAUGGAUGGCGACCGGCGCACGGGUGAGUAACACGUAUCCAACCUGCCGACAACACUGGGAUAGCCUUUCGAAAGAAAGAUUAAUACCGGAUGGCAUAGUUUUCCCGCAUGGGAUAAUUAUUAAAGAAUUUCGGUUGUCGAUGGGGAUGCGUUCCAUUAGGCAGUUGGCGGGGUAACGGCCCACCAAACCAACGAUGGAUAGGGGUUCUGAGAGGAAGGUCCCCCACAUUGGAACUGAGACACGGUCCAAACUCCUACGGGAGGCAGCAGUGAGGAAUAUUGGUCAAUGGACGAGAGUCUGAACCAGCCAAGUAGCGUGAAGGAUGACUGCCCUAUGGGUUGUAAACUUCUUUUAUACGGGAAUAAAGUGAGCCACGUGUGGCUUUUUGUAUGUACCGUAUGAAUAAGGAUCGGCUAACUCCGUGCCAGCAGCCGCGGUAAUACGGAGGAUCCGAGCGUUAUCCGGAUUUAUUGGGUUUAAAGGGAGCGUAGGCGGGUUGGUAAGUCAGUUGUGAAAGUUUGCGGCUCAACCGUAAAAUUGCAGUUGAUACUGGCGACCUUGAGUGCAACAGAGGUAGGCGGAAUUCGUGGUGUAGCGGUGAAAUGCUUAGAUAUCACGAAGAACUCCGAUUGCGAAGGCAGCUUACUGGAUUGUAACUGACGCUGAUGCUCGAAAGUGUGGGUAUCAAACAGGAUUAGAUACCCUGGUAGUCCACACAGUAAACGAUGAAUACUCGCUGUUGGCGAUAUACGGUCAGCGGCCAAGCGAAAGCAUUAAGUAUUCCACCUGGGGAGUACGCCGGCAACGGUGAAACUCAAAGGAAUUGACGGGGGCCCGCACAAGCGGUGGAGCAUGUGGUUUAAUUCGAAGCAACGCGAAGAACCUUACCAGGUCUUGACAUCGAUCUAAAGGCUCCAGAGAUGGAGAGAUAGCUAUAGAGAAGACAGGUGGUGCAUGGUUGUCGUCAGCUCGUGCCGUGAGGUGUCGGCUUAAGUGCCAUAACGAGCGCAACCCUUAUCGAUAGUUACUAGCAGGUCAUGCUGAGGACUCUAUUGAGACUGCCGUCGUAAGAUGUGAGGAAGGUGGGGAUGACGUCAAAUCAGCACGGCCCUUACGUCCGGGGCUACACACGUGUUACAAUGGGGGGUACAGAAGGCAGCUACACGGCGACGUGGUGCUAAUCCCUAAAGCCUCUCUCAGUUCGGAUUGGAGUCUGCAACCCGACUCCAUGAAGCUGGAUUCGCUAGUAAUCGCGCAUCAGCCAUGGCGCGGUGAAUACGUUCCCGGGCCUUGUACACACCGCCCGUCAAGCCAUGAAAGCCGGGGGUACCUGAAGUGCGUAACCGCGAGGAGCGCCCUAGGGUAAAACUGGUGACUGGGGCU
rnacentral:rRNA from 1 species